rnacentral:lncRNA from 1 species
AGGGGGAAGUUAAGAAAUUUCUAAAUUGAAAAUUUGAUGAAUGUGUAUAUAUAUGAGGUAAUUUAUUCAUUUUCAAUUAUUUUAAGUUAGAAAUUCAUGGAAUUUAAAAAUAGUCAUGUUGGUUGUGUUCAUCACAAAAAAAACAUUACAGUUUUUUUUUUUGUAAAGUUCACUUAAAACACUUUUGAUCUAUAGAAGUGACAUAUGAAAGAGCGACACUAGUUAAAGUUGGAAUAUUUCUUUCCACAAAUAUAUAGAUCGUCCACAAAGUUUUGGAGAGAUGCAGAGAAUGCCCAAGAUAUUCACUACAAGAAAACGUCUCCAUAACAACGAAGAUUUACGACGAAAAUAUUUCCUCGUAAAUUUACAUGGUGUUUACAACGCAGUUACGAGGAGACCAAAUUUUGUCGUAAACUCCAUGUAAAUUUACGAGGAAAUAUUUUUGUCGUAAAGUCCAUGUAAGUUUACGACGAAAGUACGUGGAAUG